UGGCGGACGGGUGAGUAAUGUCUGGGAAACUGCCCGAUGGAGGGGGAUAACUACUGGAAACGGUAGCUAAUACCGCAUAACGUCGCAAGACCAAAGAGGGGGACCUUCGGGCCUCUUGCCAUCGGAUGUGCCCAGAUGGGAUUAGCUAGUAGGUGGGGUAACGGCUCACCUAGGCGACGAUCCCUAGCUGGUCUGAGAGGAUGACCAGCCACACUGGAACUGAGACACGGUCCAGACUCCUACGGGAGGCAGCAUG
rnacentral:rRNA from 1 species